ensembl:lncRNA
GUGGGGGGGGGGCCUCGGUGCAUGGGAAGCGCUCUCUCUCCCAAUGUGGGAAUAAACACAGAGGACGGGGCGAGGGAAUUAAGCCACGGUAUACCACAGCACAUAUUUCUUUGCCGUAAAACAAUGUGCUUGCGACCCGGCGCUAUACAGGGAUUUCACAGACGCGUUGAGGCAGAAUGCUGCUAUUUGCAUGUAAAGCUGUCUCUGGUUAUGUAUUGUUGUGGUCCGUCUUUAACGGCGUCGAGGUGCAUGGGGGGGUGAGGCACGGAGGAGGCCUCGGUGGGAAGCGUAUAGUCCAGGUCUCAGCUUGGCUUCUGGGAGACAUUUUUAAAUGUCUUAUGUCAGCCGUUUGUUGAACUACGGGGUCGGUAUCUGAAAUUGGGUCACGAACCGGUUGGCGAUGAUGGCCAGAACACCCGGAACAGUCUGUGGGCACCGGAUUUGUCCGACUCAAGGUUCAUCGGUUCCGGCGUGCUGGGAGUGUGCGGUAGUCGGGUCUCGCGGACACACUGAAACGAUCUUUUGGAUCCUUAGAUGAAAAGGUUGAAGAGCCACUGGUGUGACCCGGUUCGUUAGUGCAGUGUUCCUCAGUCUCAGAUGCUCAGAAGAGGAACUGUGUACGGAACAUUGCUGUAGGCAGGUGUGGCAGACAAGAGAGAGAGGCGUGAGAGAUGGAUCUGCUGACUGCAGUAUCACGCCGAUGGUGUUGCUUUUUCUCUUUAAGACAAAUAAAAAGAGGAAAUGUGAGAGCAGUUUUUUUGUUGAAAUGAAGUGCAAUUAGUGUAGAUGGUCCCUGAUUACAAAUUUAUUAACAGAGGAAUGAGUGAGAAAAUGGAGAGCUCUAAUAGCACCUUAAUGAACACACGAAUAAGUGUUAAUGUGCCCAAAGGAACAGUUAAGGUAUCAAGUUAAUGGUUGAUUCUGUUUUAACAACUUCUCAAAGGCUGUAGAAUAGUACUAAUUUCUGUGUGUGUGUGUGUGUGUGUAAGUGUGCGUGUGUGUGUGGAUAAAACAGAAGCAGUGACGGGGGAAAUUUUAACCUAAAUAUACACAUGGUCUGUAAAUAAAAGGGGAAACCUGUUUGCUUGAAUGUUUACAUAUGGAUGUAUGCAUGUAGGCUUCCUUCAUCCUUGCAUUCAAAGACACACAAACAUUUGCAUACAAUACACAACAGUUUAAAUGAUGAGAAUUAGUCUUAUCUCUUAUCUCUUUGCCUCUUCAAGUUCCUCCAGUCUACAAUGACUUCUAGAAAAAUAAUAAUUAUUGCUUUGUGACAUUAGUCCAAGACCAGCGUUAGAAAGAAUGUUCUUAUUUUAAAAUCUAUAUUUAGGGCAUUUAUAUGAUAAGAUAUGUCUCAACGGAUUUUAAGUUGAACACAGGGAGUCAGAGAGUUACCGUGAUAGAAGGAAUCAGGCUGGUGAUGAUGUCAUGGCAUGAUGUCACCCAGAGGCUCUACAGUUUGGGGUUGUGUGCAUGAAUCUGAAAGUUUGGAUGACAUGUUCCUCCGUGGAGGUCUCCGUUGGUCUGCGGGGGAAAGGGGCCCAUCUCAGUCCGGAGACGAGGCGCAGACAGAGUGCUCCCAUUGCAAGGUCUCUGAGAUGGGUCUGUUUGGACUGAAGGGGGUCUCAAAACUUCUGAUAAUGUUAUGCUUUCGAUCCUAAUAACACCUCAUUAUAUCAAUUAAUUCACACGAUGAUAAUCAAUGAUGUACCUGUGCAACAUUCAAAUAACUUAAUAUAACUUAGUAUAUCCACUCUCCCAAAGCAAUUUUAAAAGAAUAUUGUCUCUCUAAGUCAACCCUGAGGGCUUAGUAUAUCUAAAUAAGAGGAACGGGCGGCUUACUACUUCUAAUAUUGAAUUGUCUUUGUUCAACACUGGAGAAGUGUGCUUAUGGAAAGUGUAGAGCGCAGUAACUCAAUGGAGGGACUACAGUGUUUGUCUUUCCCAGCUGUGCGUUUGAAGCAUAUGUCCAUAUUGCUGCUGGGUUGCCUCCCUACGGCCUCCCCUUCCCUCCUCUCUCUCUCUCUCUCUCUCUCUCUCUCUCUCUCUCUCUCUCUCUCUCUCUCUCUCACUGGACGGCAGCCACCGUUUUAACGGCUCCGCCGUUAUAGAGUGAGCCCGGCUCAUUCCGAGCGUUGGACGGGAGCCAAUGUGGGUCAAGCGAGCCUCAUCGCCGGCUCCUUAAUGCGACGUUGGCCGAGACUAAUCCAGCACAAAGCCCAGCGGCACUAAGUAUCUUACAGAGGAAGAUGGAGUACAGUUUAGAAACGUCGUCUCAGGCUUGGCAGAUUAGGUCUGUCCGCUACGGCGUCUCGGACGAGUAGGG